AUGUGGACUCGUCUUCGUCAGCGUUAUGAGCCCUCUGGUGAUGCCUUAUACCUUUCUGUCGUCCGUCAUGAGCAUGCUCUUCAGCAGGGUGACUCUACUGUUGAUGACUUCUAUGCACAGAGUUCUGCUAUCUGGCGCCAGCUUGAUUCUCUCCGCAGUGCUGGUUGUCGUACUUGCCCCUGUUGCCAGGCUGUCCAGGCAAAUUUGGAGUUUCAUCGCGUCUACGAGUUCCUGUCUCGGCUUCGUAAGGAGUUUGAGCCCCGGCGUGCUCAGUUGUUUGCUCGUGGUCGUAUUUCUCUCAUGGAGGCGCUUUCUGAGAUUCGUGCUGAGGAGACUCGCUUACGUGGUGCUGGUUUGCUGGAGGUUCCCUCUGUGCUCGCUACUCGGGCUUCUUCUACGCCACCUGCUGCACCGACCCCUUCUCGCUUGAGUGCUCCGCUGCUCUUGCCCACUCCUUCUGGAGGCUCAGGUCGCCCUCGUCCACACUGCGACUACUGCAACAAUGAUGGUCAUAUUGAGUCCCAGUGCUACACGAAGAGGAAACACCUGCGCAAGGCGCGAUCAUCAUCUUCAGGGACUUCGUCA
rnacentral:rRNA from 1 species